UUCUGUACCAUACUGUCCUGUACUUC
rnacentral:piRNA from 1 species